GAAGAACAACAAACUGUUGUUUCAUUUGUUAUGCUUUGUACAAAUGUUCAAGAUCGCUUUGCACACCUGCGGACCAACAGAAAUUCAAACUGUUUGCGCCCCAUUUUCGCGUUCGAUCCGUGCGCUAGCGAGAAAUGUGUUACAAGCUGUGCCUGUUUUCAACUCAGCAUUAACAAACAAAACCCGUAAAAAACACUGUGUGAAGAAAUCGUUCGUACAUGGUCGAACUUGUGGCCCUUAUCGGUUAAGAUAGAGAGUGCGGUACUAUAGUUGGUAUAUAUUACGGGGAGGGGAUGAUACACGCAUGCAAUAUCGCUCGAUAAGUAUAAUAAGCCCCUCUUCUGGUGCGGCGUGUAAAGGAACGACAGCAAGAUUCUGCGUUUGAAUGGAAAGUUUAGUUUCUUAUUUUUUUUUUUAGCUACAAAACUACACAUACACAAACAGUGAACUAACACGCACGUGCCCUUUGCGUAUAGAUGUAAUUGGAAGAAAAAGGAUUCGUGGCUGUACGGACUAAUUUCAAACAAAACUUUAUUUCAACUCUUGUUAGCUGACAAAAAUCGAUCCCAAAUAAAGAGACACAAAAAGUAAUGAAAA